UCUAGGGCUCUCUCUCCUCGCCCGAGGUUUGGACCCAGAGGUGGCAGGGGAAGUGGCAUGCGUUAUUUCCGGGCGCUGGCCUACGUCCCCCCACCCCUCGGGUGAGGGUGGACCGGGCUACGUCCGCCUGCUCCACGGCGUCCCCGGGCCUGAGGACACGGGACGACUGGGCCCCCCCGCCCCCAGCUCUGGCCGCUCGCCCGACGCCCGAGUCCUUUCAGCCUCCGGGUGAACUCAAGCGCCGCUGCGCUCACGGCCCGUCGGGCCACCAGGGGGCGCCCGCCCGCCCGGCGCGGGGCUGAGGCUGCUCUCUUUCCCGGGACUCAACGAAGGCAGGCGGAGGUGCCUUCCAAAAUGCACCUUGGGCCGACUGGUUCACAAUGAAUAAAAAGACAUUUAUUAUGUAAGUGCAACAGCAGGUGGCUUUCCCUACCCUCUUCUCGGAGAUGAGGUACCAGGUGCAGAGGAACCCCGGCUUUUACCGAGGGGACGGACUUGGGGGCCAAAGCCAGGGUGUGCAAGGCUGGUGGGAACGCGCUGCCUGAAUAUGGCCAAGUCUCCGGCAGAACAGCAUUUAAGCUUCGAACAUGUGAUACGUGACUGGAUGGAAUUCCUGGAGAACUGUAUUAACACGUUUCAAAGAGUUGAAUCCUGAGACUUGAAUAGAAACAUUGGCUCUUCCUGGAUCUCCAGCCUACCAGCCUCUGAACUAGAACUAUACUGUUGGCUCUCUUGGGUCUCCAGCUGACUGACUACAGAUCUUGGGACCCAUCAGCCUGCAUAAUCAUACUUGCCACACUCGGCUUGUGGAAUCAUAGUUCCCAGACCAAAGGAUUGAACCCUUGGGCCCACGGCAGUGAAAGCGCCAAGUCCGAACCACUGGACCGCCAGGGAAUUCCCAAUCGUGACUUUUUUUCUAUUGAUUAAUUACUGUUUCCAGGAUUUUCUACACGUAACUUCUUUUUCAUCAGAAGUGUGAAAGAACACAUGCUUUGAACAGUUGAGAAAAACUAAGGAUUACAGUGACACCAAGCAAGGGCCAAGAUGUGGGCAAAACUUUGUGCUAACCUGCCCUGCAGUUGCCUAUUUCCAGAAGCAGCUUGGCCAUUUCUCUCUGUCUUGCCUCAGUGAACUCCGACUUUCCUUGACCGUUAACCCCUAACUGGAAUGCACAAGGCCUGGACGCCUCUGUGGGCCCCGAUUCACCUCUCCCAAUGAGCCUCCCUUCCUGGCACUGAACUGCAACGCAAUAUUUUCCAUCUGUUGAAUGAAGAGCAUGACACAGGCAGCUGGAUAUGGUUUUGGAGCCCAGGGCAAACCAACGAUGCACAACUCACUUUUAUUCCACAAGCCUGUGGGAACCCAAAGAGAUAAGAGGCCUUUCUGCUAGGCUGAACACAGAGCCUGGCAUUCAGAAACAAACACUCCUUCCUGAAAUACUCAAUAUGUUUUUUUAUUCAAGCCAGAAACAUUGUGGGUUGGAAUAAUCUAAGGAUGAAUCUAAUCUGAAGUUAUCUUGAAACGUGAAAACAGAAUUCAAAAAAGGCUGAGACACUUGCUCAAGGUCAGCCAAUGCUACGUGGUCAAAGUGGAAUUUAAACCUGAAUGUGCCUGAUUAAAAAAGCCUAAUUCUUGGGAGGCAGAAGACCUAAGUAGACAUUUCUUAGAAGAAGACAUACAGAUGGCCAACAGGCACAUGAAAAGAUGCUCAACGUAGCUAAUUAUGAGAGAAAUGCAAAUCAAAACUACAAUGCGGUACCACCUCACACUGGUCAGAAUGGCCAUCAUUAAAAAGUCUACAAAUAAUAAAUGCUGGAGAGGGUGUAGAGAAAAGGGAACCUGGCUACACUGGGAAUGUAAAUUGGUGCAGCCACUAUGGUGGGAAUGUAAAUUGGUGCAGCCACUAUGGUGGGAAUGUAAAUUGGUGCAGCCACUAUGGUGGGAAUGUAAAUUGGUGCAGCCACUAUGGUGGGAAUGUAAAUUGGUGCAGCCACUAUGAAAAACAUUAUGGAGUUUCCUUAAAAAACUAAAAAUAAGAGUUGCCAUAUGAUUCUGCAAUCCCACUCCUUGGCAUAUAUCCAGAGGAAUCUAUAAUUCAAAAAGAUACAUGCACCCCAAUGUUCACAGCAGCACUAUUUACGAUAGCCAAGACAUGGAAGCAACCUAAAUGUUUAUCAACUGAUGAAUGGAUAAAGAAGAUGUGGUACAAAUAUACAGUGGAAUAUUAUUCAGCCAUAAAAGAGAAUGAAAUAAUGCCAUUUGCAGCAACAUGGAUGGACCUAGAGAUCAUGACACUAAGUGAAGUAAGUCAGAAAGAGAAUGACAAAUACCAUAUGAUAUCACUUAUAUGUGGAACCUAAAAUAUGGCACAAAUGAACUUAUUUAUGAAACAGAAACAGACUUACAUAUAGAAAACAAACUUAUGGUUAC